UACGGAGGGUGCAAGCGUUAUCCGGAUUCACUGGGUUUAAAGGGUGCGUAGGUGGGUCUGUAAGUCAGCGGUGAAAUCUCCGGGCUUAACCCGGAAACUGCCAUUGAUACUAUAGAUCUUGAAUUGUCUGGAGGUAAGCGGAAUAUGUCAUGUAGCGGUGAAAUGCUUAGAUAUGACAUAGAACACCAAUUGCGAAGGCAGCUUACUACGGAUUGAUUGACACUGAGGCACGAAAGCGUGGGGAUCAAACAGG
rnacentral:rRNA from 2 species